rnacentral:rRNA from 1 species
GAUGAACGCUAGCUACAGGCUUAACACAUGCAAGUCGAGGGGAAACGAUAUUGGAAGCUUGCUUCCGAUAGGCGUCGACCGGCGCACGGGUGAGUAACGCGUAUCCAACCUGCCCACCACUUGGGGAUAACCUUGCGAAAGUAAGACUAAUACCCAAUGAUAUCUCUAGAAGACAUCUGAAAGGGAUUAAAGAUUUAUCGGUGAUGGAUGGGGAUGCGUCUGAUUAGCUUGUUGGCGGGGUAACGGCCCACCAAGGCUACGAUCAGUAGGGGUUCUGAGAGGAAGGUCCCCCACAUUGGAACUGAGACACGGUCCAAACUCCUACGGGAGGCAGCAGUGCGGAAUAUUGGUCAAUGGACGAGAGUCUGAACCAGCCAAGUAGCGUGCAGGAUGACGGCCCUAUGGGUUGUAAACUGCUUUUAUAAGGGAAUAAAGUGAGUCUCGUGAGACUUUUUGCAUGUACCUUAUGAAUAAGGACCGGCUAAUUCCGUGCCAGCCGCCGCCGUAA